rnacentral:lncRNA from 1 species
UGAAAUUGUUUUUUGUCCAUUUAGAUCACAGAUGCUUUAAUUUAUAUAAUACUUUAAAUUUUGCAGGCUUCUUUAUGAAUAUCACCUCAUUGAUCCUCACAGCUACUCUGAGAGCUUCUCUUGCAAAGCAGCCUGCCUGAGCCCCAUCACAAAAGAAAUAAUGGAACAAUACGAGGAAAUAUGACUAUGUCUUCUGUAUGUGGUCCUGUCUUCAUGUCUCCAUUAAUCAACUAUGUAACAGUCUUGAGCAAGCAUGGACAUUGAAAUGUUCCCUGGGCACAUUUGAAAUCAGUACCCUG